GUCCCUGAGAUGGCUAUGGGGCUGCCAAGCCUCGCGAGAAGCCUCCGUUAGGGCCGUGUCAACUGUAGCCAGUGGUUGCGGCUCCCUCAGUCUGGCGUCAUCUAGGUCGCUGCUCAGGGAAAUGCGGAGGCCAGUAGGCUUACGUGUUUACCGCGUAGGGCAAAGCCUUGCCAAAUUCCCGGCCAGCGGAGCGGCGAGGGUGGGGACUCACGGGAAGUUAAACAGCCUCGUCGGCGUCCUCGUCGGCGUCCUCGCGGCUCCAAAACCAGGCUCUAGGCGGGGACGACUGCAGCCGUUAUGGAGGCCACCGCGGCUACGGCCGCGGCUGAGGCCUCCCCAGGUGGAGCGGUGGCCUGGAGGGGAAUCUUGAUCCUGGGCCAGCCACCUGUCAAGAGGAGGCGGAGCGUCAUGCCCCUGGAAGACUGGAUGAAUAUUCUCCAGGAGCCUGACGAAGGCGGCCAUGCUGGAUAAGGAGCUGGCUGCCUCUGUGAACAUCCUACUCAAGGCAUCUUCACUGCUGUACAUCCUUUUGAAAUCCCAGAGAUCUUCAGUCUCCCUGUGGAUUAAGGAGAUGUGCAGUAUUUAAAGUGGCUUCAGGAAGGCAUGGAAGAGGACUGAGUGGGGAAAGCUUUUUGUGCAUGCUGCUGGCUACCUCCAGCAGCUGCCUCCAGCCUCCAUCAGCUGCACUCUGGGGAAGAGGAGGCUGCCUUCUACCUCCC
rnacentral:sRNA from 1 species